rnacentral:rRNA from 1 species
AGCGAACGCUGGCGGCAGGCUUAACACAUGCAAGUCGAACGGGCACUUCGGUGCUAGUGGCAGACGGGUGAGUAACACGUGGGAACGUACCUUUCGGUUCGGAAUAAUCCAGGGAAACUUGGACUAAUACCGGAUACGCCCUUCGGGGGAAAGAUUCAUCGCCGAUAGAUCGGCCCGCGUCUGAUUAGCUAGUUGGUGAGGUAAUGGCUCACCUAGGCGACGAUCAGUAGCUGGUCUGAGAGGAUGAUCAGCCACAUUGGGACUGAGACACGGCCCAAACUCCUACGGGAGGCAGCAGUGGGGAAUAUUGGACAAUGGGCGCAAGCCUGAUCCAGCCAUGCCGCGUGAGUGAUGAAGGCCUUAGGGUUGUAAAGCUCUUUUGUCCGGGAAGAUAAUGACUGUACCGGAAGAAUAAGCCCCGGCUAACUUCGUG